CUCUUGCCUGCUGCCACGUAAGACAUGGCUUUGCUCCUGCUUCAUCUUCUGCCGUGAUUGUCCACCUCCUUUGAUCCACACGAUAUCCUUCAUGAGGAAGAUAUCAGCAUCCGCAUUAUAUGGACAAAGACAGCAGAGACUCAGAGAAAUGAAGCACGCACCAGUGCUUAGUCAAGUCAAAAUGUUCUGAACUCUGGCUCGCCCUCAGCCUGAGCCGCAAAAUAGUCUGGCCUCGGAGAAACAGUCUUCAGUUUCCUAUAGGAUCGUGCCACCCAUUCAUCCCCCUUCUCAUUCAUUCUUGCCUGUUUACUCCUCUCUAUGAAAGAAAACCCCUGUUUGCCUAACUCUUGGGGAUGCCUGCAGAUCUUGGGGUCAGAGAAGCUCCCUGCUGCAAUAAUCGCUUUCCCCACUCUGCAAUAAUCCUUUUAAAUAAAAUCUUUCCUUACUAAGUCCAGAUUUCUUUUUUAUUUGACAAUGACCACAGGCAAGUGAUUUCACUGCAGUUUCCUCCAUCUGUAAAGUAAGAAAAAUAUGUUGCAAAAUUCUAAAAUCAAAGACACGAAAGUGCUCUUUCAGCCACAAGAAAAUAAAAUAUAGUUCUAGAGGGUGCUCAAGUCUUCAGCCUUCAAUUUCCCUCUAUAAAUGUAUUUCAGGGCCCACCAUUGCCUGACCAUUCUCUGUCCUCAGGCCCCAAACCCUCCCAGGCCCACAGGCCAUCCCAGGCUCCCACCCAAGCCUCCUGGGCCACUUCAGCUUCAAACAGUCUCAAUCCAGAAAGCCACCACUCCCUUCCCCAGGCACAUCCACCCUUCAUUCAUCACUGUCACAUCCCACAGAGGGCUUUUAUUUAACAACCAAUUUAUUUCCAGUUUAACUAAUCUGGGGAUGGGGCAUCUCUCUCUCUCACGCAAACCAACAACACCUGGGUUGUAAAUAGACUUACAAACCAGUGUGUGCUGGAUAAUAUAAACUCUCAUCACAGCAACAUCAGGAGAGAGGGGAGGGGAGGGAAGAGGGGUCAUGAGACUGCAGGGUGAUAAAAUAUGCAAGCCCCCAAGAAAAACAACCCCUGCAGCCCUCCCUUCUGCCCCUACGCUCAGCUCUGCUUAAAAUUAUUUAUUUAUUUAUCUCUCUGAUUCCCUGGCUCACCUUGAGCCCAAGACAAAAGCUUCAUAAACAAUGUAUGACAUGCUAACCCCUGGUUGGGUAGGAACCUGCAGGUGGU
rnacentral:lncRNA from 1 species